UCGCCCUUAGGCUCAGUAACACGUGGAUAACCUGCCCUUGGGUUCGGAAUAACCCCGGGAAACUGGGGAUAAUUCCGGAUAACGCACAUAUGCUGGAAUGCUUUAUGCGUAAAAGGAUUCGUCUGCCCAAGGAUGGGUCUGCGGCCUAUCAGGUAGUAGUGGGUGUAAUGUACCUACUAGCCGACAACGGGUACGGGUUGUGAGAGCAAGAGCCCGGAGAUGGAUUCUGAGACAUGAAUCCAGGCCCUACGGGGCGCAGCAGGCGCGAAAACUUUACAAUGCGGGAAACCGUGAUAAGGGGACACCGAGUGCCAGCAUCAUAUGCUGGCUGUCCGGGUGUGUAAAAUACACCUGUCAGCAAGGGCCGGGCAAGACCGGUGCCAGCCGCCGCGGUAACACCGGCGGCCCGAGUGGUGAUCGUGAUUAUUGGGUCUAAAGGGUCCGUAGCCGGUUUGGUCAGUCCUCAGGGAAAUCUGAUAGCUCAACUAUUAGGCUUUCUGGGGAUACUGCCAGACUUGGAACCGGGAGAGGUAAGAGGUACUACAGGGGUAGGAGUGAAAUCUUGUAAUCCCUGUGGGACCACCUGUGGCGAAGGCGUCUUACCAGAACGGGUUCGACGGUGAGGGACGAAAG
rnacentral:rRNA from 1 species